rnacentral:rRNA from 1 species
GGACUACCGGGGUAUCUAAUCCCGUUCGCUCCCCUGGCUUUCGCACCUGAGCGUCAGGUGCUUCCCAGGACACUGCCUGCGCCUUUGGUGUUCCUCCGGAUAUCUACGCAUUUCACCACUACACCCGGAAUUCCGUGUCCCUCUGAAGCCCUCAAGUCCGUCAGUUUUCGAAGCGCUUCCCCAGUUAAGCCGGGAACUGUCACUCCAAACUUGGCGGACCGCCUGCGUGCGCUUUACGCCCAGUAACUCCGGACAACGCUUGCCCCCUACGUAUUACCGCGGCGGCUGGCAC